UACGUAGGGGGCUAGCGUUGUCCGGAUUUAUUGGGCGUAAAGAGCGUGUAGGCGGCCAGGUAGGUCUGCUGUGAAAACUCGAGGCUCAACCUCGAGACGUCGGCGGAAACCAUCUGGCUAGAGUCCGGAAGAGGAGAGUGGAAUUCCUGGUGUAGCGGUGAAAUGCGCAGAUAUCAGGAAGAACACCGAUGGCGAAGGCAGGUCUCUGGGCCACUACUGACGCUGAGAAGCGAAAGCGUGGGGAGCGAACAGG
rnacentral:rRNA from 1 species